CCGUAGCUCAGUUGGUUAGAGCAUCGGACUCAUAAUCCGCCGGUCGUAGGUUCGAGUCCUACCGGGCC
rnacentral:tRNA from 1 species